rnacentral:lncRNA from 1 species
AAUUGGAGCUACAACUGCCAGCCUACACCACAGCCACAGCAAUGCCAGAUACAAGCCAUGUCUGUGACCUACACCACAGCUCAUGGCAACGCUGGAUCCUUAACCCACUGAAUGAGGCCAGGAAUCGAACCUGCAUCCUCAUGGAUACUAAUUGGGUUUGUUACCGCUGUGCCACACUGGUAACUCCCCCACUGAUUCUGAUUUAAUUGGUCUGAAGUGUGACCCAGGUUUCCAGUAAGCAGCUGGGCUUGAGAACUACCAGCCUCUAGGUGAUCAAAGCACCCAGGUCCUGAAUAGUUUAGCUGCUCAGGAUCUUGAAAAUACAGAGGCUGCCAACAGUCAGUCUUGUUAAAACUUACCAGUUGAAUCCUGUUUUGUACUUCCUGACUCUUUGCUCAGCAGGAGGGCUUGGUUAUUAUUGUAAAGUUAAAUCUCGAAGUUGCCCAUCAAUAAAUAAGCAGUCAUGAUAGGAUUCUCCUCUUUGACCUCUGUAGGAAGAGUGAGUCACUUCCUUUUGUGCUUCCCACAGUGCUUGGGGUAUCAUUCUUGGCAUUUCUGCCUUUUAAUUGCUCUCCCGCUCUCUCUCUCUCUCUCUUCCCCUGAUACACAGGACUGCUGGCCUUUUCAAAAGUGUAGUCCUUCUUGGUCUCCCUCAUUUCCCUGUCUAGAGCCAGCAUCAAUUUCAUCACUUAGUCGAUAUUUAAUAACUAUUGGAAAGACAGAGAUUUUCCUGAAAUGUAGGCAUCGCUGUUUUUCAACACCUAGAGCACAUAUUCAAUGUGAGCCAUUGCUAGACUGGGAGACACAGAGUUAGUCAAAGGCGGACCCCUGUCCAUACUCUGACUCUACCUCUUACUGGCUCGGGGGUGGGGGGACUUUAUCACCACUGAUCUGCUUGGAGCCUCAAUUUAGUUGGGGACAGUCCAACUUAACUUUAAGAGAAACUGGAGAUUUCAAAAGGCUACGUAUGUAAAACACUCUGUACAGGCUUCCUGUCAGUUAGGAGGUCCUAGGCAAUGGGAAGAAGGAACUGAUAAUAAAAAUGGCCAUAACUAAACCCAGGAGGAACCACAUGGAUCUAAACUAUGAAUUUCCCCAAUCUUUGCCCAGAUAUCCCUCCAGGAAACUUGGACUCUCCAGCUCCAGGUUCAGUGUUUGUCCUUCAUAUACUCUGCGCUUCUGUUAUAUUCAUCUGUCUGGCCUCCUGGCCGGACUAUAAACAAGGAGCACAGGCAUCCUUUCUGUCUUGUUUCCCACUGGAUCCCCAGCCCCAGUAUAGGGCCUGGCAUGUCCUGAAUACAUAGUCCUAAACUUGCAGCGUCACCACGUCAUUGACUGAUGGAAAGGCCAGACCCAAUGCCCACUUGAAACUCUUCACCCCUGGGAUGGAGGGUUACUGGCGAGUCACCUGACCUUCUGAACCUGUUUCCCAUUUGGGCAAAGAAUUGAGUUUGAUCAUCUCUGUGAAUCUUUGGUCUAGCCUCCAAAGCAAGGUGAUUCAAGAACUAUUCUUGUUGUACCUGAUACCAUGGAUCAGGGUCACGGAAAGGAUGUAAAAGAUGGAUUAUUUCUGGCUCCAUCUACUAGACCAGGAUUUGUUUUUAUGAAAUUAAUUUGAGCUCAUCACUUUAUUCAUUUAUACCUUCAUAUAUUCAUUCAUGCAGUAUUUAUUGAGAAUCUGCAAUGUAAUGUUUAUUUUACUACAUCUUGUAAAUACAAAGAGGAAUGCAUCAGAGUCCCUGCUCUCCACAAGACAGUAGUCUAUGGGGGAAAUAAAAAACAUGAACCUGCAUAUUUAAUAUGAUAUGAGGCGUGUUUCUGACCCAGAUAUUCCUGAGGGGUAAUGACAGCCCUCGAGAGAGGAACUAAAUUAUUCUCAUUUGAAUAAGGGGGAUGUUACGGAUCAUGGAAUAUGAAGGACUUCCCAGAUAAGGUGCCAUACGGAAUCAGUCGUGGAGAAUGAAUAGAUACUCUUAAAUUUAAAAAAGGAAGGAGAUGAGGUCUCUUGUGGUACAGUGGGUUAAGGAUCCAGUGUUCAGCUUGGGUUGCCGCGGUGGCACAGGUUCAGUCCUUGGCCCAGGAGCUUCCACAUGCUGCGAGAGUGGCCAAAAAGAAAAAAAAAAAAAAAAAAAAAAAAAAGGAAGGAGAAAGGAAGUGGCAGAAGGAAGUAUAUCCAAUACCACUGAGCUAAAAAACAGCUUGUAGUAUUUUGGCACCUUUGUGCUUUGUGGCUGACAAAUAGGAUGAAGGUGUUGAAGGAGCAGGAGCUACAGUCUGAGAGGUAGCUGGGUACCUGAGUGAUUGGCUUUCCAAAGACCAAACUUCAGCCAGGAAUCAGGAGCCCUUUGGAAAGGGAAAGCCAUUUUGCACCCUGGGAUCCAUGCCUGUUCGUCCACACUGCGAGAGUUCCCAGGGUCGAUUUGGGUCUGUGUCCACAGCCUGAUUUGGGUGUAGCCUUCUUUGUAACAGAUUUUCCCAGCUCCUUAUCACAGCUCCUGCUCUUGUUAUGGCAACGGCUGUGACUGUCUCAGUGGGGUGGGUCGUGCCCCUAGAUUAGUUAUCUCCGCUCCAUUUCUCAGUGUUGUUCCAGUUGGCUGGAGGGUGCUCCCGUCACGGGGAGAAGAGGAUGGGAAUGCUACUGAGUAUCAGCCAACCUUCUUCCCCUCUCCCUGACACACCAUGGACAAACAUGAGCCCUGUUUAAGCUGAGCUCUAAGACUUGUGGUAGAUUCCCUGUGAUCCUGGGUGCCCAGGACGAGUCGAUGAGUGGACCUUCAGAGCAGACUAGAGGGUCACGAGGUGUAAUGCCCAGUUGUGGACCUGUGUUCCUGUCCUGCCUCUGCCACUUCUUAGCUCUGUGUCUUCAUAAAGUAAUUAAUUGAUUUGGUCUUUAGUUUCCUCAUUUGUAAAAUGAGCACCAUAACCCCUACCUUCCAGAGUAAUCCCCUACACUGCUGGUAGAUGCAACAGCGCUAGCCCUGAAAGAACUUUGCAAGUAGUCUGACACAGGCAAGCACUUAAUACAUGGACACCGUCAUCAUUAUCACCUAAAAUAAAACAUUAAAUCCAGUUGACAUGGGACAAGUCUGACAGACACUUAAUACAUGGACACCGUCAUCAUUAUCACCUAAAAUAAAACAUAUUAAAUCCAGUUGACAUGGGACAAGUCUGACAGACACACACACCUAAUUCUAAGCUUGGCUCCCCCAAAACCACCGCAGGACCUUGAACAAGUUACUGGAUCUCCCUUGGCUUCAGUUUCUCCUCAUAUUAUACAAGAAGGGAAUAGAUCUGAUGAUCCUUCUAUGAACAUAUUCCGUUCUGAAAACCUAUGUUCCCUGAAUAAGGCUGAUGCCCAGUACUACUCUUUAACUGGAUAACCACUCAGUGACAAUUCUGUGUAAAAACACAGCAGUGAUCAACUUUAUUAAAUACCUAGAGGGUGUUGGAGUAGAUAACAAACAUUUUUUUCUUAGCCUAAAUUUGUCUAAAGCUUUCCCUCUAGCAACUUUCCUCUCAAUCCAGCAGAGUGUAUCUAUGUGGGUUUUCAGCUGUCACAGCACUUGCUGUGCUAAAGGAUUCCCUAUCACCCCUUUAAGGGAAGGAGAGUGCUUAGCUUCUUUCUGCAUUUUCUUGGCCCCUAUCACAUGGCCUGGCCUAUGGUGAGUUAUGUAUACAUAUUUACUAGUUGACCAAAGAAAAGAAUGAGUGAUGUGGUCAAUGAACGAAUGAAGACAUCACUCCAACUGCCCCAGUGAUUACAUGGACUCAGGGGCUGUGCAAGUGGACACAUUCGCAGGGUACCACAGGACCUUAGAGACCAAAGAGAUAUAUAGUCUAUUCCUCUUGUGAUGCUGGGGAUCUUUCUUCGGUAUUCUAAUGUUGCUUGUCUGUGUCAAGGGAUGGAAGACCCAAUGCCUCCAAAGGCAGUGCAUUUCAUUUUGGGGCAACUGAGAGAACUCUUGGCUGUGAGAGAACUCUUUCUUCCAUCACUGAGCCUGGGUUUGUCUUCUAAAAGGCAUAUAGACUCCUCAUCCAAAGGUUGUACAAUUGCCUAUAUAGACAAAGCCACCGUGUGUGUGUCUGUGUCUUUGUGUGAGGGAGAUGUCAUAUGAUGGGGUCAGCAGGGUCGAAGGAAUUGUUUUGGCCUUGAGAUGGCAUUCAAAGGUGGCCAGAACUAGGAAAGUAAUUCACACCAGCCACGUUUACAGUAUAUAUCACUUUAUAAACUUGAUCACAAUUUUUUUCAUUUUAACUGUAGCACCUUCUUUUUCUGUCUCCAAAGUACACCUACCUGCGAGUCCAGACAUGGGAGACGUCAACCUUAACUUGGGGAGGUAGCUUAGUGGUGAUUCUGAGGCACAUUUAUUCCCGGCUCUUGAGAGGUGGUUAAGAUCAUGUCCACCACAUCAGAAGACCGAAUAAGGCGGGUCUUCCAGGUCAGAUUCACUUUCGUGGAAAAGACCCGCUACACAAACUGCCUUUAGCUUCCCUUUUCUGCUCUUGGUACAGACCAUGUUCUGUCAGUUGCAGGAUAUAAGAGUUGUGUACAUUCAGUGCAAUGUGGAAUAAGCCAGGUCGAUGUUUUCUUUUCAUGGUCCGUAGAUGAGUUAGGCAUCUGUUUCCAGUGAUGGAACAUCCUGUAGCUUAUAUUAAGGUUCAGAUACGUCAACACAGUUAUGUCAUUCUCAGAUACACCGUAGUCAUCUUGAUAAACUCAUACCUUCCCACGUUCUCUUAGCCUCCCAUUUCCUGACUUUUCUUGGGUUGAGCAUGUUUAUACAUGCAUGAUAUCACUCAUUGUUUGAGGACUUUAUCCGGAUAACUGUCAGAGAGAGGGGCAGGAAUGAUAGGUGGGUUUCCUCAAUAUUCCUUCUCGCCCCUUCUCCCUGCUGACUUCUUGUGUAGAGACAUUUUCCAGCUUCCACUGGAGCUGGAUAUGGGCCUGUAACACCAUUCUACUCAGUGAGCUGUAAGUGAAAUCCUUCACGCUGUCUCCUUCCUCUUCCCUGAACUGUGUUGGUUGAUAUGGUCUUACACCCAAUAAUAAAUCAGACCUGUAGAAUUUGGGUUCAUGUUGUAACCUGGAACAUUCCAGGCUCAUUCCUUCUAGCUUUGGGAUCCUCCUGGUCUCCUAGCCAUAAUUCAGCCUCUUGAGGGUCUGAGCUUCUGUCUUCCUAGCUGCUGGAGGUUUCAUCUCGUGUGACCUGACACCACCCUCUGAGAGAAUAACUUGGCAGGUAUUUAUCUUGCAUAGUUACUGGUAGAAGAGACAGAUAUGUAAACUCACACCUCAGGAAAUGUGAUGGCUUACCAGCUUGGCCAAAGCAAAUGGAAAGACUCAAUAGAUAAUUUUGUUCCAACAAGUCUAGGCAUACCAAAGAGGAGAAUGUCUUUUCAUCUUAAAGGCAUGCAACCAUUAAGGUGGUUUAAAAGACUGAGAGAUUUAGGGAGUCGUCUUUGGAGUCAGGUCAAUUUAAGUUUGAAUAUUGACUCCAGAACUUCUGAGCUACGUUACUCUGGGCUGAUUGCUUAACCUGUCUUAACCUUAGUUUGCUCAUAUGUUAAAUGGGAAUCAGAGAAGAAACUAAUUCAUCAGGUUGAAAAGGACUCAGUGAAACAAUACAUGUAAAGUGCUUGACAGAGCAUCUGCUAUUUAGUAAAAGUGCUUAAUAAAUAACAGCUCUCGUUAUAACUAAACUAUUAAUUAUAAUGCUAUUUUGAUUAUUGAGAUAUUAAUGUUAAUUAAGCUCUAAGUUUUUAUUUUCUAGAGAGAGGUGAAAUUUUAUAUCCAAUAAUUGAUAAAUAAUGGUGUCAGUGAUGAAUAAGGUUAGACAGGGAAGCUUGGUUUACUCAUCAGUGGGUCAUUGGUACAGAGCUACAGUGGGUAACUUCAUUGUUAUUGUAAGCUUGUUGGGCAAGGAUGUCAGGGGCUGGUUCCUUCUUCACCUCAGCUCCAGAACCCUUGGCCUUGUCCCUUAGGCCAGAGGGACAGCACAUGGCAUGGGUAAAGGAGGAGAGGGGAGUGCUCUAGAAAUGCAGUGGUCAGGCCCUUCAUUCCCAGAGCUGCCCAGGGUCCAUGGCCAUCUAGGUUUCUGGCUUCCCCAUUGAGAUGCCACGAGGCUCUUUCUAUCCUGUUCUCAGUCAGACAGGACUGAAGAUGGCUAGAACUAGAAGGAUCUUUCGUGGGCAUCUAAUCAUGCUUCCCCUUGCUCCAGAUCUGUAAAGUGACACCCAGAGAAGAGAUGUGAUUGAAGUUGUACAUCAAAAUGCUAAAGUAUUAUUUAUUUAUUUAUUGCCUUUUAGCGCUGCAUGCAUGGCCUUUGGAAGUUCCUAGGCUAGGGGUUGAAUUGGAGCUGUAGCCACUGGCCUAUACCACAGUCACCUCAGCACCACAUCUGAGCCA